CAUGAAGGCAAUGGACGAAGAAGAAAAUUCUUUGGAAGAUGGACACAAUAAUAUGGCACCAAAUUCUAGCCCCAAUAUUGCACAAAAGAAGGGUAAUAAAUCAGGUUCAGCAAGUGGAAGAAAUAACUUUAAUACAAGGAGAGCAUAUUUCUAUUGGGUUACUAGAGAACAAGGUUCAUUUGAUUGGUUCAAAGGUAUAAUGAAUGAAGCUGCGGAAAUGGACCAUAAGGGAGUUAUUGAAAUGCAUAAUUAUUGUACUAGUGUAUAUGAAGAAGGUGAUGCUCGUUCUGCUCUUAUUACUAUGCUUCAGUCUCUUCACCAUGCCAAAAAUGGUGUUGACAUUGUUUCUGGCACGAGAGUUAAGUCACAUUUUGCUAAACCUAAUUGGCGUAAUGUCUACAAACGCAUUGCUCUCAACCACCCUGAGGCUAAAGUUGGUAAGCAUUUAUCUUCUUUCUUUUGAUCUCAAUUUUUAUGUUUUCUGUUUCGCUUAUUAUGAAGCCUCGGCAUAACUAGUAAAGUUGUUGCCCUAUGAUAAAAAAGUUACGGGUUCGAGCAGUGGAAACAACCUAUUGCAAAAUGCAGAAUAAAACUGCAUAUAAUAGAUCGUUGUGGUCCGACCCUUUUCUGAAACCCAUACAUAGCGGAAGCUUAGUUUCCUUGAAAGCAGCUUAGUGCAAAUUUCAUAGUGAUCCAUGAGCUGUUAUGCUUAUUGAGAUAUUCCCCAACAAAACUAUCAACUUCUACGGGUUAAAAAACCUUUAGACUUUUGGUAUCUAUGUCGUUAUUAAAGUUGAAAAGCAUGUUCAAUUGAUCUAGUGUUUCAUUGUGAAAGCAAUUGGCACUCAGGUCACUUUCAAAUUCCUGUCAAGACAUCAAUUAUCGAUGGCUAAUUACUCGUUUUCCCCCUUUUUUGACAAUUUGCAGGGGUGUUCUAUUGUGGGGCACCAGCACUGACCAAAGAACUAAGACAACACGCCUUGGAUUUUUCACACAAGACCUCCACCAAGUUUGAUUUCCAUAAAGAAAAUUUUUGAUCAAAGAAUAGACCAUUAAGCAGAGCAUUAAAAAUUCAUCAAAACAGCUAAAGACACAAGUUGUUUUCUAGAAUCUACCACCUCUCCCUAUUGUGUACAGAUAAUGUUGCACUUCAAGUUGAUAUACAGUUGUGGUUGUGAUAUCAGUAUAUUACAAAAUAAUAAGAUUAUUUUUAGUAUAUAGAUACCAAAGGAAUUAAGAAUGUUCGUCUUCCAUAAAUUGAGAGGCAAAUAGUAAGGCAGGCAGAAGAUAGUGGAGUUGAACCUGUUUUCAUGGGUGCCACCUACCACUAAAAUUGGAGUUUCUAUUAUACUUGCAUAGAGGAAGGUGGCUGCCAUCAUUUUUGUUUUUAUUUAUUUUAUUUUUUUGUACUCUUUUACGUGGUGGUAUAGAAAGCCAACGAGCCACCAACUUAGUAAUUAUUGACCAUGAUAUGUUGUACUAUGUUUAAUUUAAUAGUUUCUAGUAUUAAUUGUAACUAGGCCUUCUUGUAUAAAAGAGCUAAAUAAUUUGGAGAUUAUAAGUGAAUGCUAUAGAACUAUUGUUUAUACUGGAUGACA
rnacentral:lncRNA from 1 species